rnacentral:rRNA from 1 species
ACGCCAAACGCCAGGGUAUUACGAGCCUCAGCUUAAAACCCAAAGGACUUGACGGUACCCCACCCAACUAGAGGAGCCUGUUCUAUAAUCGAUGAUCCACGAUACACCCAACCAUCUCUUGCCUCAGCCUGUAUACCUCCGUCGUAAGCCUACCCUGUAAAUGCACGAUAGUAAGCCCAAAAGCCUAGCGCCCAAAUGUCAGGUCAAGGUGCAGCCCAUGAAAUGGAAGCAAUGGGCUACAAUUUCUAAUCUAGAACAAACAGAAUGCUAUAUGAAACAUAGCCAUAAAGAAGGAUUUAGUAGUAAAUAAGGAAUAGAGAGCCUUAUUAAACCUAGCUCUGGGGUG